GCGAGCGUAGUUCAAUGGUAGAACGAGAGCUUCCCAAGCUCUAUACGAGGGUUCGAUUGAGCACACUUUCUGUUUGUA
rnacentral:tRNA from 3 species